UCACUGCUUGCGCAGGCAGUCUCGCUAGAGUCCCCGGCAUUAUCCGCUGGUAACUAACCACAGGGGUUGCGCUCGUUGCGCCACUUAAGGCAACACCUCACGGCACGAGCUGACGACAGCCAUGCAGCACCUUCGCGGGCGCCCCGAAGGGAAGCUCCGUUUCGGGAGCGAUCGCCCGAGAUUUAGCCCGGGUAAGGUUCUUCGCGUUGCAUCGAAUUAAGCCACAUGCUCCACCGCUUGUGCGGGCCCCCGUCAAUUCCUUUGAGUUUCAUUCUUGCGAACGUACUCCCCAGGUGGUAUGCUUACUGCGUUAACUGCGUCACUGAACCCGAAAGCCCAACAACUAGCAUACAUCGUUUACAGCGUGGACUAC
rnacentral:misc_RNA from 1 species